AGUGAACGCUGGCGGUAGGCCUAACACAUGCAAGUCGAACGGCAGCACAGUAAGAGCUUGCUCUUACGGGUGGCGAGUGGCGGACGGGUGAGGAAUACAUCGGAAUCUACUUUUUCGUGGGGGAUAACGUAGGGAAACUUACGCUAAUACCGCAUACGACCUACGGGUGAAAGCAGGGGAUCUUCGGACCUUUCGCGAUUGAAUGAGCCGAUGUCGGAUUAGCUAGUUGGCAGGGUAAAGGCCCACCAAGGCGACGCUCCGUAGCUGGUCUGAGAGGAUGAUGGGCCACACUGGAAAUGAGACACGGUCCAGACGCCUACGGGAGGCAGCAGUAGGGAAUCUUCCGCAAUGGGCGAAAGCCUGACGGAGCAACGCCGCGUGAGUGAUGAAGGUCUUCGGAUCGUAAAACUCUGUUAUUAGGGAAGAACAAAUGUGUAAGUAACUAUGAACGUCUUGACGGUACCUAAUCAGAAAGCCACGGCUAACUACGUG
rnacentral:rRNA from 1 species